rnacentral:rRNA from 1 species
CCUUAGAUCGUACCCACAUUUACUUGGAUAACUGUGGUAAUUCUAGAGCUAAUACAUGCAAACCAGAGUUCCGACCAGAGAUGGAAGGAACGCUUUUAUUAGAUCAAAACCAAUCGGUGGCGGGUUCGCUCGUCCACCGUUUACCUUGGUGACUCUGAAUAACUUUGUGCUGAUCGCAUGGUCUCGUACCGGCGACGCAUCUUUCAAAUGUCUGCCUUAUCAACUGUCGAUGGUAGGUUCUGCGCCUACCAUGGUUGUAACGGGUAACGGGGAAUCAGGGUUCGAUUCCGGAGAGGGAGCCUGAGAAACGGCUACCACAUCCAAGGAAGGCAGCAGGCGCGCAAAUUACCCACUCCCGGCACGGGGAGGUAGUGACGAAAAAUAACGAUACGGGACUCAUCCGAGGCCCCGUAAUCGGAAUGAGUACACUUUAAAUCCUUUAACGAGGAUCCAUUGGAGGGCAAGUCUGGUGCCAGCAGCCGCGGUAAUUCCAGCUCCAAUAGCGUAUAUUAAAGUUGUUGCGGUUAAAAAGCUCGUAGUUGAAUUUGUGUGCCACGCUGUCGGUUCAUCGCUCGCGAUGUUUAACUGACAUGAUUGUGGGACGUCCUACCGGUGGGCUUAGCCUUUCGGGGCGGUCCAGCUAAUAUCCCAUCGCGGUGCUCUUGAUCGAGUGUCGAGGUGGGCCGGUACGUUUACUUUGAACAAAUUAGAGUGCUCAAAGCAGGCUAUGUUCGCCUGAAUACUGUGUGCAUGGAAUAAUGGAAUAGGACCUCGGUUCUAUUUUGUUGGUUUUCGGAACCCCGAGGUAAUGAUUAAUAGGGACAGAUGGGGGCAUUCGUAUUGCGACGUUAGAGGUGAAAUUCUUGGAUCGUCGCAAGACGAACAGAAGCGAAAGCAUUUGCCAAAAAUGUUUUCAUUAAUCAAGAACGAAAGUUAGAGGUUCGAAGGCGAUCAGAUACCGCCCUAGUUCUAACCAUAAACGAUGCCAGCUAGCGAUCCGCCGAAGUUCCUCCGAUGACUCGGCGGGCAGCUUCCGGGAAACCAAAGCUUUUGGGUUCCGGGGGAAGUAUGGUUGCAAAGCUGAAACUUAAAGGAAUUGACGGAAGGGCACCACCAGGAGUGGAGCCUGCGGCUUAAUUUGACUCAACAC